rnacentral:rRNA from 1 species
UUAGGAAUCGUGCGCAAUGGGGGAAACCCUGACGCAGCCAUGCCGCGUGAAUGAUGAAGGUCUUAGGAUUGUAAAUUCUUUCAGCGGGGACGAUAAUGGCGGUACCCGCAGAAGAAGCUCCGGCUAACUUCGUGCCAGCAGCCGCGGUAAUACGAAGGGGGCUAGCGUUGCUCGGAAUUACUGGGCGUAAAGGGCGCGUAGGCGGAUGUUUAAGUCAGAGGUGAAAGCCCAGGGCUCAACCUUGGAACUGCCUUUGAUACUGGGCAUCUUGAGUACGGGAGAGGUGAGUGGAACUCCGAGUGUAGAGGUGAAAUUCGUAGAUAUUCGGAAGAACACCAGUGGCGAAGGCGACUCACUGGCCCGUUACUGACGCUGAGGCGCGAAAGCGUGGGGAGCGAACAGGAUUAGAUACCCUGGUAGUCCACGCCGUAAACGAUGAGUGCUAGUUGUCGGCAUGCAUGCAUGUCGGUGACGCAGCUAACGCAUUAAGCACUCCGCCU